rnacentral:rRNA from 1 species
AACGAACGCUGGCGGCAGGCUUAACACAUGCAAGUCGAACGCAUCGCAAGAUGAGUGGCAGACGGGUGAGUAACGCGUGGGAACAUACCCUUUUCUACGGAUUAGCUCUGGGAAACUGGAAUUAAUACCGUAUACGCCCUACGGGGGAAAGAUUAUCGGGGAAGGAUUGGCCCGCGUUGGAUUAGCUAGUUGGUGGGGUAAAGGCCUACCAAGGCGACGAUCCAUAGCUGGUCUGAGAGGAUGAUCAGCCACAUUGGGACUGAGACACGGCCCAAACUCCUACGGGAGGCAGCAGUGGGGAAUAUUGGACAAUGGGCGCAAGCCUGAUCCAGCCAUGCCGCGUGAGUGAUGAAGGCCUUAGGGUUGUAAAGCUCUUUCACCGAUGAAGAUAAUGACGGUAGUCGGAGAAGAAGCCCCGGCUAACUUCGUGCCAGCCGCCGCAGUAA